rnacentral:rRNA from 1 species
AGUGAACGCUGGCGGUAGGCUUAACACAUGCAAGUCGAACGGCAGCACAGUAAGAGCUUGCUCUUACGGGUGGCGAGUGGCGGACGGGUGAGGAAUACAUCGGAAUCUACUUUUUCGUGGGGGAUAACGUAGGGAAACUUACGCUAAUACCGCAUACGACCUACGGGUGAAAGCAGGGGAUCUUCGGACCUUGCGCGAUUGAAUGAGCCGAUGUCGGAUUAGCUAGUUGGCGGGGUAAAGGCCCACCAAGGCGACGAUCCGUAGCUGGUCUGAGAGGAUGAUCAGCCACACUGGAACUGAGACACGGUCCAGACUCCUACGGGAGGCAGCAGUGGGGAAUAGUGGACAAUGGGCGCAAGCCUGAUCCAGCCAUACCGCGUGGGUGAAGAAGGCCUUCGGGUUGUAAAGCCCUUUUGUUGGGAAAGAAAAGCAGCAGGUUAAUACCCCGCUGUUCUGACGGUACCCAAAGAAUAAGCACCGGCUAACUUCGUG